rnacentral:lncRNA from 1 species
GGAAACUUGAGCUCAAAUUCACACACAAAUAUUACCCAAACAACAGUCACAAAAUGGGAUAAACACAGCACACGAAAAUCUAAUUUAGCUAUACAAAUCUAGAGCUUCAAUGACCAAAUUUCAACAAAAAAAACAGAGUAACAAGAUAUCAACUUAUCUGGGCAUCAAACAUGAUUUUUCCUUCACUAAAUUUCAUCUUUUCAAAGCAUUAUUCUUCUCCUCUUCCAUUGCAACUUUC